UACGUAGGGGGCUAGCGUUGUCCGGAUUUAUUGGGCGUAAAGAGCGUGUAGGCGGCCAGGUAGGUCUGGUGUGAAAACUCGAGGCUUAACCUCGAGAUGUCAUCGGAAACCAUCUGGCUAGAGUCCGGAAGAGGAGAGUGGAAUUCCUGGUGUAGCGGUGAAAUGCGCAGAUAUCAGGAAGAACACCAAUGGCGAAAGCAGCUCUCUGGGACGGUACUGACGCUGAGACGCGAAAGCGUGGAGAGCGAACAGG
rnacentral:rRNA from 1 species